rnacentral:lncRNA from 1 species
CCCUUCACAAAAAUUAAGACAUCGCUAUAGAAAAUGUUAAAUUGAAAUGGGGUGUCAUAAUUUUUGUAAAAAAAUGUAAUAAUUUUUAAGAAGAAAUGUCAUAAUACUGCAUGGAGGAAAAAAGAUAAUGAAUAUAUACGGAAAUAAUAUUAUGACACCUUUUUUAAAAAUUAUGAUAUAUUUUCAUAAAAAUUAUGAUACCCCACUUCACAUUAACAUUUUCUGAAAGGGGUGUC